GCGGGGAAUUUCGGUGGAAUUCCGAAGCUGUGCCGCAACGGUGAUAGCCCGAGAACCGC
rnacentral:ncRNA from 30 species